UCAAGUGAAGAAGCGCAUACGGUGGAUGCCUUGGCAGUCAGAGGCGAUGAAAGACGUGGUAGCCUGCGAUAAGCUUCGGGGAGUCGGCAAACAGACUUUGAUCCGGAGAUCUCUGAAUGGGGGAACCCACCUAGGAUAACCUAGGUAUCUUGUACUGAAUCCAUAGGUGCAAGAGGCGAACCAGGGGAACUGAAACAUCUAAGUACCCUGAGGAAAAGAAAUCAACCGAGAUUCCCUUAGUAGUGGCGAGCGAACGGGGAUUAGCCCUUAAGCUUCAUUGAUUUUAGCGGAACGCUCUGGAAAGUGCGGCCAUAGUGGGUGAUAGCCCCGUACGCGAAAGGAUCUUUGAAGUGAAAUCGAGUAGGACGGAGCACGAGAAACUUUGUCUGAACAUGGGGGGACCAUCCUCCAAGGCUAAAUACUACUGACUGACCGAUAGUGAACCAGUACCGUGAGGGAAAGGCGAAAAGAACCCCGGAGAGGGGAGUGAAAUAGAACCUGAAACCGUAUGCGUACAAGCAGUGGGAGCCUACUUGUUAGGUGACUGCGUACCUUUUGUAUAAUGGGUCAGCGACUUAUAUUCAGUGGCGAGCUUAACCGAAUAGGGUAGGCGUAGCGAAAGCGAGUCUUAAUAGGGCGUUUAGUCGCUGGGUAUAGACCCGAAACCGGGCGAUCUAUCCAUGAGCAGGUUGAAGGUUAGGUAACACUGACUGGAGGACCGAACCCACUCCGUUGAAAAGGUAGGGGAUGACUUGUGGAUCGGAGUGAAAGGCUAAUCAAGCUCGGAGAUAGCUGGUUCUCCUCGAAAGCUAUUUAGGUAGCGCCUCAUGUAUCACUCUGGGGGGUAGAGCACUGUUUCGGCUAGGGGGUCAUCCCGACUUACCAAACCGAUGCAAACUCCGAAUACCCAGAAGUGCCGAGCAUGGGAGACACACGGCGGGUGCUAACGUCCGUCGUGAAAAGGGAAACAACCCAGACCGCCAGCUAAGGUCCCAAAGUUGUGGUUAAGUGGUAAACGAUGUGGGAAGGCUUAGACAGCUAGGAGGUUGGCUUAGAAGCAGCCAUCCUUUAAAGAAAGCGUAAUAGCUCACUAGUCGAGUCGGCCUGCGCGGAAGAUGUAACGGGGCUCAAACCACACACCGAAGCUGCGGUGUCACGUAAGUGACGCGGUAGAGGAGCGUUCUGUAAGCCUGUGAAGGUGAGUUGAGAAGCUUGCUGGAGGUAUCAGAAGUGCGAAUGCUGACAUGAGUAACGACAAUGGGUGUGAAAAACACCCACGCCGAAAGACCAAGGGUUCCUGCGCAACGUUAAUCGACGCAGGGUUAGUCGGUUCCUAAGGCGAGGCUGAAAAGCGUAGUCGAUGGGAAACAGGUUAAUAUUCCUGUACUUCUGGUUACUGCGAUGGAGGGACGGAGAAGGCUAGGCCAGCUUGGCGUUGGUUGUCCAAGUUUAAGGUGGUAGGCUGAAAUCUUAGGUAAAUCCGGGGUUUCAAGGCCGAGAGCUGAUGACGAGUCGUCUUUUAGAUGACGAAGUGGUUGAUGCCAUGCUUCCAAGAAAAGCUUCUAAGCUUCAGGUAACCAGGAACCGUACCCCAAACCGACACAGGUGGUCGGGUAGAGAAUACCAAGGCGCUUGAGAGAACUCGGGUGAAGGAACUAGGCAAAAUGGCACCGUAACUUCGGGAGAAGGUGCGCCGGCUAGGGUGAAGGAUUUACUCCGUAAGCUCUGGCUGGUCGAAGAUACCAGGCCGCUGCGACUGUUUAUUAAAAACACAGCACUCUGCAAACACGAAAGUGGACGUAUAGGGUGUGACGCCUGCCCGGUGCCGGAAGGUUAAUUGAUGGGGUUAGCGCAAGCGAAGCUCUUGAUCGAAGCCCCGGUAAACGGCGGCCGUAACUAUAACGGUCCUAAGGUAGCGAAAUUCCUUGUCGGGUAAGUUCCGACCUGCACGAAUGGCGUAACGAUGGCGGCGCUGUCUCCACCCGAGACUCAGUGAAAUUGAAAUCGCUGUGAAGAUGCAGUGUAUCCGCGGCUAGACGGAAAGACCCCGUGAACCUUUACUGUAGCUUUGCACUGGACUUUGAGCCUGCUUGUGUAGGAUAGGUGGGAGGCUUUGAAGCGUGGACGCCAGUUCGCGUGGAGCCAUCCUUGAAAUACCACCCUGGCAUGCUUGAGGUUCUAACUCUGGUCCGUGAUCCGGAUCGAGGACAGUGUAUGGUGGGCAGUUUGACUGGGGCGGUCUCCUCCUAAAGAGUAACGGAGGAGUACGAAGGUGCGCUCAGACCGGUCGGAAAUCGGUCGCAGAGUAUAAAGGCAAAAGCGCGCUUGACUGCGAGACAGACACGUCGAGCAGGUACGAAAGUAGGUCUUAGUGAUCCGGUGGUUCUGUAUGGAAGGGCCAUCGCUCAACGGAUAAAAGGUACUCCGGGGAUAACAGGCUGAUACCGCCCAAGAGUUCAUAUCGACGGCGGUGUUUGGCACCUCGAUGUCGGCUCAUCACAUCCUGGGGCUGAAGCCGGUCCCAAGGGUAUGGCUGUUCGCCAUUUAAAGUGGUACGCGAGCUGGGUUUAGAACGUCGUGAGACAGUUCGGUCCCUAUCUGCCGUGGACGUUUGAGAUUUGAGAGGGGCUGCUCCUAGUACGAGAGGACCGGAGUGGACGAACCUCUGGUGUUCCGGUUGUCACGCCAGUGGCAUUGCCGGGUAGCUAUGUUCGGAAAAGAUAACCGCUGAAAGCAUCUAAGCGGGAAACUUGCCUCAAGAUGAGAUCUCACUGGGAACUUGAUUCCCCUGAAGGGCCGUCGAAGACUACGACGUUGAUAGGCUGGGUGUGUAAGCGUUGUGAGGCGUUGAGCUAACCAGUACUAAUUGCCCGUGAGGCUUGACCAU
rnacentral:rRNA from 1 species